GAAAAAAAAAAGUGAAAACUUCAAGUACCACCCCUGUAAUUUCGCGCUUUUUUAUUUUAGUACCCUAUGAUUUAAAAUGUAUCACUUUUGUACCAUGUGAUAUUAUUUUUUUCUUUCUGUUAUCCCUUAGUUAAUUUUUUCGUUAAAUAGGUGACAAAAUUAAAACCAUAGGGUACUAACGUGAAAAUUCGAUAAACCACGGAAUACUAAAGUGAAUAUUCGAUAAAUCAUAAGUGGGGUAUCUGAAUUUUUUUUCAUAUGAUUUAGUAAAGAGUUAACGGAGGCGCUGACGAAAAGAGAAAAAUAAAAUCACAUGAUACUAAAGUGAUACACUUUAAUCAUAUGAUAGUAAAGUAAAAAAAUGCGAAACUACAGAGGUAGUAAUUGAAGU
rnacentral:lncRNA from 1 species